CUUCUCACCUGGUGGCCAGUGGCCUCCAGAAAUAUUUCCAGAGCAACAUACGGCUGCGAUUAGCUACAGCGCCAGGUCAAAAUUGUCGCACCUGCAAUUGUGAUGAAAUAUGAUCCUUGGAUGCCGUAACGAACGGUACAUCAGUCCAUGUGGGCAGGUCACAUUUCUUCCGUGUGAAAGAGAAAUGAAAAAAAGACUGGAAGAAUCAAAAUUUGUCAUCCUUGGCUCGCAUAACUACCUUUGCAAUGAGCCCUAACUAACCUCUGCAAGAUGAAAAAAUAAGAAUAAAAAUAAAAAAUAAGGCAAAGCAAAUCACCUG
rnacentral:sRNA from 1 species